UCUUGGCUGGCCAAGGCAAGAACAAAAGGGAAAAAGCAUAGAACAAACCCUAGAGAAGAAAAUCAAGAGAAAAUUCAUUGGAUUUUAAGGAAUUAAGCAAGUAAAGGUAAAAUUUCUUAAUUCUAGCUUGUGAUUUACCUUUCCUAUGCAUUCUUUUUCAAUUAUCAUGGUUAAAAUUCAAGAUCUCAUGAAGGAUUCAUGGCUGAUCGAAUUUAGGGAGAGAAGAUUUGAUGAUUUAUUUGGUUAGAUUUCAAGGUAUCUUAGUGUUUUUAGUUGUUUGGUGAUGUUUAACAUGAAAAACAAGCAAGAAAUUUCAUGCCCUUCACCCACACUCCUUGGCUGAAAUUUUCAAGAGAGAAAUUGGAUAAUGGACUUUGAUGAAUUUCAUGCUAUUUAGGUGUUUUUAGUUGUUUUAUGAUGUAAGGUGUAAAAAUCAAGCAUGAAAAUUUCAUGUCCUACACUAAACCUUCAAUGGCUGAAUUUUACAAGGAAGAUAUUGAUGAUGGAUUUUUGUGAUAUUAAAUAUUAUUUAACUUGUAAUUGAUGACUUGGAGUGUUGGAAGUGGAAUCAAGUUAAUUGGAGUUGAAUUGGAUGUAUUGGCCAAUUAACCGGUGUAUAAAUCGAAUUAGGCCAAUACCAUUUUAUUUCGAUACAUAAUUGAAGCUACGUAGAACACCAUAUUGAGAUAAUAAUCUGAACAUGUGAUUAAUUGAAACUUCCGAUAAGGGUAAGGAGAUUGUACCCGAAGACCGGGACUAGGAGUACUUCGACUCUCGAUAUUGUGAGUAACCUUAUUAUUGUCUUAAUUAUCUAAAGUAGUUUUUAUUCGUUUUUGUGAUUUUAUAGAAAAAUGAGUUUAAAUGGCAAAUCCUUAUGUUUUAUAAGUAAAAUGUGAUUAAAUGAAAUGAGUUUAUAAAUCAUUUUGAAAUUGAAUGAUAAUUUUAGAAAUUGAGUAAUUGGAGACUGUUUGAUUGUAUUGUAAAUUUAUGGUUUGAAUUGAAUGGCUUAUGGUGAUAUUGGCAUGAAUGGCUGAAUUGGAAAUUGUGUUGAAAUUGUAUGAACUGUUUGUUUUGGCUUAAUAGGCUGGGUAGUAAUAUAAUUUCCAUAUCAUGCUGUCGAAACUUUUAUUGAUUUGGUGGGAUAUUGAUAAGUCACUGCAGUGGCGGGUUUUCGUGGACCAGCCUAUUAGAGAGGCACGGUAAACCUGGCUAUAUUUUACCUCGGUAUGAAAGGCGCGGAGGGCAUCUCCUGAGGUAAAGCUUUAGAGUUCACUACACGCUAAACCACCACGUGAGGGUGAACUUAGCCAACGCUAAGGAACGACUAUAUUUUUAAAUGUAAAAAUGUGUUUUAUGCAUAUAUGAACUUUUCUUUAACAGCCUUGGCGGACUCGGUUGGAUGCCCUGGCCAAGGUAUCCCCGAGAAUGAGUUUUGGCACGAGCCAAAUUUUUAAGAAAUUCAUAAGCCAUGUUGAUUAUUUGAGUGAAAUUAAAUUAUUUUAUUUAGUUGAAAUAAGUUUGAAACGUUAUGAAUCAUAGUACGAUGAACUAUUUUAAG
rnacentral:lncRNA from 1 species